GCUGGGUGCAGUGGUGCAUGCCUGUAAUCCCAGAGACUUGGGAGGCUGAGGCAGGAGGAUCAUGAGUUCAAACCCAGCCUCAGCAACUUAACAAGGCCGGAAGCAACUCAGUGAGACCCUGUCUCUA
rnacentral:sRNA from 1 species